rnacentral:misc_RNA from 1 species
UCCAUUUUUGUGAGUGAAAUUCAUCGCCAACCAUUUACCAGUCAACCGUAUAGACAGUGACACAGGCGUUACCGUUCUAGCCAUUCAUAAGAACAGAAAAUUGUUUUCCUUUCUCUAAACUAUAAUCGCCGAAGAAGAUCAAAGAAUCAUUCUCAGAGAAAAAAAAAUAAUAAAACAGCGUAAUCCUAUCCAGAAUCAAUGGGAACAGUCAUCGAUUCCCAUUUUCUAGCACUCACUGCCGUCGCCACUGUGGGAUAUCAGUUGCUAUUCUUUAUAAUCACUGCUCUUCUAAAGAUUGAUAAAGUCACAGACUUUGCUGGAAGCACCAAUUUUGUCAUACUUGCUGUGUUGACUCUGGUUUUGAAAGGGACGUGGCAUUUAAGGCAGGUAGUCUUGAGUUUACUUGUUGUUACAUGGGGUCUUCGCCUGGGAUUGUUCCUAUUAAUGAGGUAUUAAUAACCUGGCAUUUCAUGACCAUUUUCAUACUUAGUAUGCACUUCCACUUGGUCAUGAAUUAUUAAAGUUUUUUAUUGUUGCAUGAGUUGCUGAAGUGUGUUUGAUUUGUAAGAUUAGUUUAUGUGCUUUGUUUGUUGGUUUAUUAAUCGUGCAAGUUUUUGAAAUCAGUAGAUUCUAGCUUCCCAUCAAAUUCACAUCAAUUACAAGUUUCUAUGACAUCCCUGCUGGGCUGUGCCUUUUAGUGGAAUGGUUUGUCUUGCAGAGGAUGUCAAAGGUACUUUGGAAGGUUGCCUAUCAUGAAUGUGAUUCAAAAAGCAUAAAUUGCCUAAAAUAUUAUAAAAAAAAUGUCUUACAAUUUUCUCAUGGAAGAAACAUAGAAAAAAGAAAAAAUGGAAAGAAAGGACGUGCAUGGGAAACUCUUGGAAGUUGGAAGUUGGAAUCUGGAACUGAUGACCCACGGAGCUUUUAUGCACAAUUACACAAUUGAAACUUAAAACCAUUUUCUUUACUAAAAGGAUAGUUAAGAGUUGUUACUUCCUGUGAAAAAAUAGUUGUUUAUAAAACUAAAUGAUGAAGCAGUUGUGGAAAUUAUUCUCAUUGAGUGAUCCCCAUCCCUAUACUCCAUGGUAUAGCAGCAUGUAAGCUUAUAAACACUUCCCUAUGAUGUAUUGAGUUGGUUAUAUAUAUAUUAGGCAUUUUAUCAUUAUUCAACCUUGAGGAGUUAGAAGAAUAACAUUAAACUCCAUUGCAUGUUUAAAUAUGCAUAUAUGAAUGUAUGCAUGGAUUAUCUUUUAUGUAUGCGGUCAAAUAAAAAUCUCAAAUACUGUACAUUAAUGAAUUUUCUUUAUGAUUUAAGAUAUGGAAUGUUGUAAACAGGAUUCUGCAGUGGGGAGAGGAUAGACGCUUUGAUGAAAUGCGUGGUAAUUUGGGGAGAUUAGCAAUUUUCUGGAUAUUUCAGGCUGCCUGGGUUUGGACAGUGAGUUUACCUGUAACAGUAGUUAAUGCAAGUGACAGAAAUCCAUCUAUUCAGGCUGAGGAUAUAAUUGGAUGGCUUAUGUGGUCUGUGGGGGUUUCAAUUGAAGCUGCAGCUGAUCAACAAAAACUGGUAUUCAAGAACUCUCCAGAAAAUAGAGGAAAAUGGUGCAAUGUUGGACUAUGGAAAUACUCUCGUCACCCAAAUUAUUUUGGCGAGGUUUGCCCUGAAUUCUUAUUUCAAUACCGCUAUCUUGGAAGCGGUGACACUUAUUUUUCCUGCUGCUUUUUGUGAAUUAUGAUAAUGUAAUGCUGCUCUUACAAUAAUUUUAAGGUGUUAAUCUUUUUUUAUAAAUAUUAUUAAUAAUUAAUAAUGCCUAUUUCAAUACUUUACUGGUCACAUUGCAAAGGAUAGACUUGGUGGUAAUUGAUACAUGCGCCAUCUUUUACUUCACUAUCUUAUCGCUGUGCACCUGAAUUUGAUGAUAAAAUUAACAACAAUCAUGUGGUUCUAGGCUUCUAGCUGCCUACUUCUUUUAGCUUAAUAAAUGCAAGGAUAAUGAAUUUAUGUUAGCUGUGGAUUUGGAUAGAUGAGUAGACCUAUGAUAUGAACCUUAACUGAGUUAUCUUAUGGCACCGGAGGAUUGAUAUACUUUGCUAAUAUUAAAAUGUAUCUUUUCUGAUUUUUUUAUUCAGCCCUUUUAAUGAGGAAGUGACCUUAGUUUUUCUUUUGGUUAUUGAGGAAUACCUGGCAUUAAACAUACUCUAAAGCCACAUUUGAUCUUUCUUCAUUUCACUCCGUCAAAGAUAAACUUGUGCACAGAUUUUCCUCUGGUGGGGAAUUUUUGUGGCUUCUACUCCUGUGCUAGAAGGUGCUGAGUGGCUUGUAAUCCUUGGGCCGAUCUUUCUCACACUGUUGCUUUUUUUCGUCAGUGGCAUACCAUUGCUUGAGGAAUCUGCUGACAAGAAAUUUGGCAACGUGGCUUCAUAUAGAGUGUAUAAGAGGACAACUAGGUUAAGUAUUUCAUUUCUUCUGUUCUUUGUUUUGUUUUGAAUGAAAUUUGGAGGAAAAACCAGCUGGACUUACAUAUUCUGUUUCAGCCCCUUCAUUCCCCUGCCCCCUGCUGUGUAUGGGAACUUGCCUUCGUGGUUCAAAACAAUUUUCCUCUUCGAAUUUCCUUUCUAUAGUCGCAGUCUUCCAAAUGAGGGUACAACAUGGUGAGACUACUGUGUAACUAAAAAACCUAUCUCACCCUAGCAUGUGAUUUGAUCAAUUUGCAUUUGAAAUAUUAUGCUUAUUCUUCAUGUAAACUUGCUGCAUUCCCAGCAAUGGGCCAUAACAGCAUCUGCUUCAACACCACCAUUCUUUAUUGCAUAUGAUCUUUAGAUGCCAUCUGUCGUCUUCUGCUCUGUCUCCUUUCCCAAUCUUCUUAACUGGAUGAAGCCAACCAAUUGCUGCAUUUAUAAUUGAAUUGCUGUUACAAUGGUGUUCUAUUAGCAAUUUCGACUCUUCAAUUAUUUUCUCAUUUGGUUUCCAAUCUGCAAUGUUUUUAAGACUCACCACUUGUGCAAGGUGUAGAACAAGCUGAGUAGGAGUCAGCAGUGGAUUGAAGAUGAGUUAGAAUUUGAUUCUUUGCAACUGCUCUGGUUUAUAAUAGGUUCUGUUCAAGUUAUUAGUGCUAAGCUCUCAAGUACUUCUGCCUUUCAAAGUUAUAUGUAUUAGACUGUACAUUCUCCCCUCACUUGGAUACCUAUUGACUUUUGAUUUAUAAAGCUGCCCAAAUACUUAUUGAAGGUGCUUUUACAUCCCUCCAUGAGACAAUAGGGAUAUCAAAUUGAAUUGAAAAUCAUAUUCAUUUUAGUUUGC